AGAGUUUGAUCCUGGCUCAGGAUGAACUUUGGCGGCGUGCCUAACACAUGCAAGUCGAACGAAGCACUGCAACCGGAAUUCUUCGGAAGGAAAGAUGCAGUGACUGAGUGGCGGACGGGUGAGUAACGCGUGGGCAACCUGCCUUACACAGGGGGACAACAGCUGGAAACGGCUGCUAAUACCGCAUAUGCGCACAGGGCCGCAUGGCCUGGUGCGGAAAACUCCGGUGGUGUAAGAUGGGCCCGCGUCUGAUUAGGUAGUUGGCGGGGUAACGGCCCACCAAGCCGACGAUCAGUAGCCGGCCUGAGAGGGUGGACGGCCACAUUGGGACUGAGACACGGCCCAAACUCAUACGGGAGGCAGCAGUGGGGGAUAUUGCACAAUGGGCGCAAGCAUGAUGCAGCGACGCCGCGUGAGCGAAGAAGUAUUUCGGUAUGUAAAGCUCUAUCAGCAGGGAAGAAAAUGACGGGUACCUGACUAAGAAGUUCCGGCUAAAUACGUGCCAGCAGCCGCGGUAAUACGUAUGGAGCAAGCGUUAUCCGGAUUUACUGGGUGUAAAGGGAGCGUAGGCGGCCCUCUAAGUCUGAUGUGAAAAUUUGGGGCUCAACCCCAAACGUGCAUUGGAAACUGCAGGGCUUGAGUGCCGGAGAGGCAGGCGGAAUUCCUAGUGUAGCGGUGAAAUGCGUAGAUAUUAGGAGGAACACCAGUGGCGAAGGCGGCCUGCUGGACGGUAACUGACGCUGAGGCUCGAAAGCGUGGGGAGCAAACAGGAUUAGAUACCCUGGUAGUCCACGCCGUAAACGAUGAAAAAUGGGUGUCGGGGAGCAAAGCUUCCCGGUGCCGCCGCAACCGCAUUAAGCAUUCCACCUGGGGAGUACGUUCGCAAGAAUGAAACUCAAAGGAAUUGACGGGGGACCCGCACAAGCGGUGGAGCAUGUGGUUUAAAUUCGAAGCAACGCGAAGAACCUUACCAAGUCUUGACAUCCUUCUGAAAGGCCCGUAACGGGGCCCGGCCUUCGGGACAGAAGAGACAGGUGGUGCAUGGUUGUCGUCAGCUCGUGUCGUGAGAUGUUGGGUUAAGUCCCGCAACGAGCGCAACCCCUAUCCCCAGUAGCCAGCAGUAAGAUGGGCACUCUGUGGAGACUGCCAGGGAGAACCUGGAGGAAGGCGGGGAUGACGUCAAAUCAUCAUGCCCCUUAUGAUUUGGGCUACACACGUGCUACAAUGGCGUAAACAGAGGGAGGCGAAGGAGCGAUCCGGAGCAAACCCCAGAAAUAACGUCCCAGUUCGGAUUGCAGGCUGCAACCAGCCUGCAUGAAGCUGGAAUCGCUAGUAAUCGCGGAUCAGAAUGCCGCGGUGAAUACGUUCCCGGGUCUUGCAAACACCGCCCGUCA
rnacentral:rRNA from 1 species